GUAGGUGGCAAGCGUUGUCCGGAAUUAUUGGGCGUAAAGCGCGCGCAGGCGGUUCUUUAAGUCUGAUGUGAAAGCCCACGGCUCAACCGUGGAGGGUCAUUGGAAACUGGGGAACUUGAGUACAGAAGAGGAAAGCGGAAUUACCACGUGUAGCGGUGAAAUGCGUAGAGAUGUGGAGGAACACCAGUGGCGAAGGCGGCUUUCUGGUCUGUAACUGACGCUGAGGCGCGAAAGCGUGGGGAGCAAACGAGGGAUUAGAUACCCUGGUAGUCCACGCCGUAAACGAUGAGUGCUAAGUGUUAGGGGGUUUCCGCCCCCUUAGUGCUGCAGCUAACGCAUUAAGCACUCCGCCCUGGGGAGUACGGCCGGCAAGGCUG
rnacentral:rRNA from 1 species